UGCGCAAUGGGGGAAACCCUGACGCAGCAACGCCGCGUGAAUGAUUAAGCCCUUCGGGGUGUAAAGUUCUGUCAGCAGGGACGAAUAAUGACGGUACCUGCAGAGGAAGCACCGGCUAACUCCGUGCCAGCAGCCGCGGUAAUACGGAGGGUGCAAGCGUUGUCCGGAAUCAUUGGGCGUAAAGAGUUCGUAGGUGGCCUGUAAAGUCUGGUGUUAAAUGCAGAAGCUCAACUUCUGUUCGGCACUGGAUACUUGCAAGCUGGAAUGCGGUAGAGGUAAAGGGAAUUCCUGGUGUAGCGGUGAAAUGCGUAGAUAUCAGGAGGAACAUCGGUGGCGUAAGCGCUUUACUGGGCCGUAAUUGACACUGAGGAACGAAAGCCGGGGUAGCAAAUGGGAUUAGAUACCCCAGUAGUCCCGGCCGUAAACGAUGGAUACUAGGUGUUGCGGGUAUCGACCCCUGCAGUGCCGCAGCUAACGCGAUAAGUAUCCCGCCUGGGGAGUACGCACGCAAGUGUGAAACUCAAAGGAAUUGACGGGGACCCGCACAAGCGGUGGAACAUGUGGUUUAAUUCGAAGCAACGCGAAGAACCUUACCAGGGCUUGACAUCUGAGGAACUUUUGUGAAAGCAGAAGGUGCUCUUCGGAGAGCCUCAAGACAGGUGGUGCACGGUUGUCGUCAGCUCGUGUCGUGAGAUGUUGGGUUAAGUCCCGCAACGAGCGCAACCCUCGUCGUUAGUUGGAUGUAUCGGUAUACUGGUGCAUUCCUCUCUAGCGAGACUGCCGGUGAUAAACUGGAGGAAGGUGGGGACGACGUCAAAUCAUCAUGCCCCUUAUGCUCUGGGCUACACACGUGUUACAAUGGCCGGUACAACGAGCCGCCAACUCGCGAGAGUGAGCAAAUCUCUAAAAACCGGUCUCAGUUCGGAUUGCACUCUGCAACUCGAGUGCAUGAAGUCGGAAUCGCUAGUAAACGCAGAUCAGCACGCUGCGUUGAAUACGUUCCCGGGUCUUGUACACACCGCCCGUCACACCAUGGAAGUCGACCACGCCCGAAGUACGUGAGCUAACCGUAAGGAAGCAGCGUCCUAAGGCAGGGUUGGUGACUGGGGUGAAGUCGUAACAAGGUAGCCGUACCGGAAGGUGUGGCUG
rnacentral:rRNA from 1 species